GUUGUUUGCAUAUUUCCAGGAUCAUAAAUUUGGAUUAUCUGAUCGAUUUACAAACACACUGUGGUUAUCCAAAGUAGCAUAUCUUGCAGACAUAUUCACAAAAUUAAAUGACUUUGUUUAUCACUCCAAGGAAAAAACUGUAAUAUUUUUAAUGCAAGAGAUAAAAUAUUUUCACUGUCUCAUAGGCUGCAGUUUUUGACCUCAUCUGUUGAGCAAAAUAAUUUGACCUCUUUGCCAACACUGAAAGAUUUUCUUGAAGAAUCAGAAAUUGAACUUGAAGAUGAAAUUCGC